rnacentral:rRNA from 1 species
AACGCGAAGAACCUUACCAGCCCUUGACAUGCCUCGUAUGGGCUCGAGAAAUCGGGUCCUUCAGUUCGGCUGGCGGGGACACAGGUGCUGCAUGGCUGUCGUCAGCUCGUGUCGUGAGAUGUUGGGUUAAGUCCCGCAACGAGCGCAACCCUCGCCUUCAGUUGCCAUCAGGUUUGGCUGGGCACUCUGAAGGAACUGCCGGUGACAAGCCGGAGGAAGGUGGGGAUGACGUCAAGUCCUCAUGGCCCUUAUGUCCUGGGCUACACACGUGCUACAAUGGCGGUGACAGUGGGACGCCAGGUCGCGAGGCCGAGCCGAUCUCAAAAAAGCCGUCUCAGUUCGGAUUGCACUCUGCAACUCGACUCCAUGAAGCUGGAAUCGCUAGUAAUCGCGGAUCAGAACGCCGCGGUGAAUACGUUCCCGGGCCUUGUACACACCGACUGUAC